ACUCCUACGGGAGGCAGCAGUGGGGAAUUUUGGACAAUGGGCGAAAGCCUGAUCCAGCAAUGCCGCGUGAGUGAAGAAGGCCUUCGGGUUGUAAAGCUCUUUGUCAGGGAAGAAACGGUGAGGGCUAAUAUCCCUUGCUAAUGACGGUACCUGAAGAAUAAGCACCGGCUAACUACGUGCCAGCAGCCGCGGUAAUACGUAGGGUGCAAGCGUUAAUCGGAAUUACUGGGCGUAAAGCGUGCGCAGGCGGUUUGUAAGUCUGAUGUGAAAUCCCCCGGGCUCAACCUGGGAAUUGCAUUGGAGACUGCAAGGCUAGAAUCUGGCAGAGGGGUUAGAAUUCCACGUGUAGCAGUGAAAUGCGUAGAUAUGUGGAGGAACACCGAUGGCGAAGGCAGCCCCCUGGGUCAAGAUUGACGCUCAUGCACGAAAGCGUGGGAGCAAACAGGAUUAGAUACCCCUGGUAGACUGUCA
rnacentral:rRNA from 1 species